rnacentral:rRNA from 1 species
GCCCAGACUCCUACGGGAGGCAGCAGUGAGGAAUAUUGGUCAAUGGUCGGGAGACUGAACCAGCCAAGCCGCGUGAGGGAUGAAGGUACAGAGUACCGUAAACCUCUUUUGUCAGGGAACAAAGGCGGGGACGUGUCCCCGGAUGAGUGUACCUGAAGAAAAAGCAUCGGCUAACUCCGUGCCAGCAGCCGCGGUAAUACGGAGGAUGCGAGCGUUAUCCGGAUUUAUUGGGUUUAAAGGGUGCGCAGGCGGCCUGUUAAGUCAGCGUUAAACGCCCGGGGCUCACCCCCGGCCCGCCGUCGAAACUGGCAGUCUCGAGUUGGAGAGAAGUAUGCGGAAUGCGCGGUGUAGCGGUGAAAUGCAUAGAUAUUAGGAGGAACACCAGUGGCGAAGGCGGCUUACUGGACUGUAACUGACGUUGAGGCUCGAAAGCGUGGGGAGCAAACAGGAUUAGAUACCCUAGUA